UACCUAGGUGACAAGCGUUGUCCGGAUUUACUGGGCGUAAAGAGCGCGCAGGCGGUCGUUCAAGUCGAGUGUGAAAGCCCCCGGCUCAACUGGGGAGGGUCAUUCGAUACUGAUCGACUCGAAGGCAGGAGAGGGUAGUGGAAUUCCCGGUGUAGUGGUGAAAUGCGUAGAUAUCGGGAGGAACACCAGUGGCGAAGGCGGCUCACUGGCCCGGUACUGACGCUGAGAUACGAAAGCGUGGGGAGCAAACAGG
rnacentral:rRNA from 1 species